GUUGUAUAGUUAAGUGACUAAGCGUACAAGGUGGAUGCCUUGGCAAUCAGAGGCGAAGAAGGACGUGCUAAUCUGCGAAAAGCUUGGAUGAGUCGAUAAGAGGCGUUUAAUCCAAGAUAUCCGAAUGGGGAAACCCAGUAGAUGAAGAAUCUACUAUCAACAAGUGAAUUCAUAGCUUGUUGAGGCAAACCGGGAGAACUGAAACAUCUAAGUACCCCGAGGAAAAGAAAUCAACCGAGAUUUCGUCAGUAGCGGCGAGCGAAAGCGAAAGAGCCAGUAAGUGAUAGCAGUAUAGUGAGGAGAAUGUGUUGGGAAGCACAAUCAAAGAGGGUGAUAAUCCCGUAUCUAAAAACCAUAUUGUGGUACUAAGCUAACGAGAAGUAGGGCGGGACACGUGAUAUCCUGUUUGAAGAAGGGGGGACCAUCCUCCAAGGCUAAAUACUCCUGAUUGACCGAUAGUGAACCAGUACUGUGAAGGAAAGGCGAAAAGAACCCCGGUGAGGGGAGUGAAAUAGAACCUGAAACCUUGUACGUACAAGCAGUGGGAGCCCCAUCACUUAAUCCGAUUGGAAGGUGAUGAAAAGCAACCGCACUUAAACAAUGGUAAGAGGAGCGAAGCGAGUCAAACCACCCAAAAGAAGCAGUGGGAUUAAGUGAUGGGGUGACUGCGUACCUUUUGUAUAAUGGGUCAGCGACUUAUAUUUUGUAGCGAGGUUAACUGAAUAGGGGAGCCGAAGGGAAACCGAGUCUUAACUGGGCGAGUAGUUGCAAGGUAUAGACCCGAAACCCGGUGAUCUAGCCAUGGGCAGGUUGAAGGUUGGGUAACACUAACUGGAGGACCGAACCGACUAAUGUUGAAAAAUUAGCGGAUGACUUGUGGCUGGGGGUGAAAGGCCAAUCAAACCGGGAGAUAGCUGGUUCUCCCCGAAAUCUAUUUAGGUAGAGCCUUGAGGUGACACCUUUGGGGGUAGAGCACUGUUUCGGCUAGGGGGCCAUCCCGGCUUACCAACCCGAUGCAAACUACGAAUACCAAAGAGUGAUACUCAGGAGACACACGGCGGGUGCUAACGUCCGUCGUGGAGAGGGAAACAACCCAGACCGCCAGCUAAGGUCCCCAAGUCUAUAUUAAGUGGGAAACGAAGUGGGAAGGCUUAGACAGCUAGGAUGUUGGCUUAGAAGCAGCCAUCAUUUAAAGAAAGCGUAAUAGCUCACUAGUCGAGUCGGCCUGCGCGGAAGAUGUAACGGGGCUGAAAUAUAGCACCGAAGCUGCGGCAUCAG
rnacentral:rRNA from 1 species